rnacentral:rRNA from 1 species
AUGGCGGCGUCGGCGUCGGCGGGUAAAAGUGCUUCUGGCCUCGACGACGGCCGGGCGCACGGCGGCGGCCUCCUUGGGGGCCGUGAGGCGAGAGGGCCAGCCCUUGAGAACCCAGGGGCCCCACGUCUCACCAACGGCGGUGAGCUGCAUGACGCAGGUCCAGAGCAACAUGGUGGUGGCGGCGCGCACCAUCCAGAGCUUCAUCUGCGACCGUGCCACGGACGACGGCGGCGCUGGCGCACGACGUACUCACCCUGCCUUCUCCACAAAUGCUCUCCCUCCACCAGCAGUUCGAGCACUCACGCGGGGCGCGGCAGCCGCCGGCGACCGCGCGGACGGACGACGACGCGUAGGUGGUGUGGAGGCAGAAGUCGGAGUGCGCUGCGCCGCCGUUCACCUUCUCGUCGUCCGCCGCCGCUCUGGAAAGGAAGCGCAUAA